rnacentral:lncRNA from 1 species
ACGGUGCCUACGCCGGGGACACUGCCCCAGCCCCGUAGCUCAGGCUUCGGUGGGUGCUCACGCCGUCUGCCUUCAUUCCGCAGCCACGAGGCCGACGCUGCGUUGAGUGCGGAGUCGGAUGGGACCUGGCGUGCUGCGGACUCGGCGACCCGCGGACCCGCUGCCUGUGAGCUGGUUGAGACCUCCGGAGGACGCUUCCUGGAGGAGGCCGGAACAUGGAGGAGGGAGUGGGAACAGCUUUCAGGAGCCAGGACAGGAUGUCCGGAUCCCUAUCAGGAUGACAGUGGCCACUUCAUGCCAGGGUGUCCCAGCCUGGCCCGUUUAUCUGCUGCUCGGUUUUUAUGGUUGUGUGUGACAGCAGGAUCUCUAAGUUCCCAGCCUUAGACUGAAUGUGGAAGCUGCAAAAAUAAUUUGGUAGAAGCAAAAGGUUUUUGAACUUUGAAGUCACACAGCUCAGAAACACUUCAGGAAGACACCCUGCCUACUGCAUUAUCAACUGUUCAGGCAGGAUCUGACCUUUGUAAACAUAAGCACACCUGGCUCAUUGAUAUGUCAGUUUUCUUUCAUACUUAAUAGUAAAGUUAUGUUGCCAAUGUAUUCUUUUAAAAUAAAUUUCUUUAUGAUUUCUUACCCAUGAA